rnacentral:lncRNA from 1 species
UCUCUUGCCUGCCGCUAUGCAAGGCGUGACUUUGCUCCUCCUUUGCCUUCUGACAUGAUUGUGAGGCCUCCCCAGCCAUGUGGAACUUCUUGCUCCCCAACACCAGAGGUGAGACCACCUGGAGUGACCGUCUCUUGACUAAAUAAAAAACCUCUUUCCAAGAAGAUCUAUCCUCCAAGAACCACCUGGAUUCCCCAAGAGAUUCUGGGGUCCCCAAACCUGACCUUGGAGCCUCUUUGAUUUGCAAGAUUGCUUAUUUCCAUUUUAAAGGAAGCAUUUCUAAUUAAGGAAAGCUCUGGCUAUACAUAGGAGAGAAUAGUAUAAUGGGCCCUCCUACCCCAUCAUGGAUCACCCAGCUUCAACAAUUACUAACAUUCUGACAAUCAUGUUUUAUCCAUCUCCUCCCCAGUUUGUUGGAAUAUUUUAAAACAAGUCCCAGAUGUUGUAUCAUUUCUCCUGCAAAAGUUGUUUUACUUCUCCAUAGGUAAAAUAACUUAUUAAAAACAUAACCAGAAUGUUAUUAACAUACCUACACAAAUGAACAAUAAUUCCUGAAUAUUAUCUAAUGUCAGGCCAUGUUCAAUUUUCUCCAAUUAUCUCAAAAAAUGUCUCUUUAGAGCCAGCUUGUUUGGAUCAGCAUCCAAAUGAAAGUCCACGUUUUUCAUUUGGUUGAUGCAACUUGCAAGUCUCUCUUAAUCUAUACCAUUUCUCCCUCCUUUUGAAACCAUGCUCUUUGUAUAUUAAAGAGUCUAGUAGAAAGAAUUUUACAGUCCUUGAUACAUGUUAGAAAGCUGAUUUCCAGGAGGGUUGUAACAAUUUGCGCCUCUUCCAGCAAUGUGAGGGAGUGCACAUCUUGUCAUCCCCAGCACUGAAUAUCAUUGCAAUUAAGAAAAAAUCAAUUUGAUAGGUGAAUGAUGGC